AUCAACGCUGGCGGCGUGCCUAACACAUGCAAGUCGACGACUACAUACCGCUUCGGUGGUGUGUGGAAGUGGCAGACGGGUGGGUAACGCGUGGGUAACCUACCUUGAAGUGGGGGAUACCAUCUCGAAAGGGGUGUUAAUACCGCAUAAUACUGAAGUCUCUUAGGGGAUCUCAGUCAAAGCUGGGGAUUGAAGAGGAGCUCGCGUCGGAUUAGUUAGUUGGUGGGGUAAUGGCCUACCAAGACCGCGAUCCGUAGCCGGCCUGAGAGGGUGAUCGGCCACACUGGAACUGAGACACGGUCCAGACUCCUACGGGAGGCAGCAGUGGGGAAUUUUGCGCAAUGGGGGAAACCCUGACGCAGCAACGCCGCGUGGGUGAAGAAGCAUCUUGGUGUGUAAAGCCCUGUCGAUAGAGACUAAGACCUUUAGGUUACCCGAGGAGGAAGCCCCGGCUAACUCCGUGCCAGCAGCCGCGGUAAUACGGGGGGGGCACGCGUUAUUCGGAAUUACUGGGCGUAAAGGGCAUGUAGGCGGUUUGGGAAGUUCUGGGUGAAAGCCCUCGGCUUAACCGAGGAAGGUCCUGGGAAACCAUCAGGCUAGAGUGCUGGAGAGGGAAGUGGAAUUCCCUGUGUAGCGGUGAAAUGCGUAGAUAUAGGGAGGAACACCAGAGGCGAAGGCGGCUUCCUGGACAGACACUGACGCUGAGGCACGAAAGCUAGGGGAGCAAACGGGAUUAGAUACCCCGGUAGUCCUAGCUGUAAACGAUGGGUACUUGAUGUGGGAGGUAAUUAAGUCCCUCCGUGUCGGCGAUAACUCAAUAAGUACCCCGCCUGGGGAGUACGGCCGCAAGGCUGAAACUCAAAGGAAUUGACGGGGGCCCGCACAAGCGGUGGAGCAUGUGGUUUAAUUCGACGCAACGCGAAGAACCUUACCGGGGUUUGAACUGACCUAGACAAUUGCAGAGAUGUAACUUUCUCUUUAGAGACUGGGACAGAUGUGCUGCAUGGCUGUCGUCAGCUCGUGUCGUGAGAUGUUGGGUUAAGUCCCGCAACGAGCGCAACCCUUGCCCGGAGUUGCCAUCAGGUUAAGCUGGGCACUCUACGAAGACUGUCGGCGAGAAGCCGGAGGAAGGUGGGGAUGACGUCAAGUCCUCAUGGCCUUUAUGUCCCGGGCUACACACGUGCUACAAUGGGCGGAACAAAGGGCAGCGAACUCGCGAGAGCAAGCCAAUCCCAGAAAUCCGCUCUCAGUUCGGAUUGCAGUCUGCAACUCGACUGCAUGAAGUUGGAAUCGCUAGUAAUCGUGGAUCAGCAUGCCACGGUGAAUACGUUCCCGGGCCUUGUACACACCGCCCGUCACAUCACGAAAGUGGGUUGUACUAGAAGUCGCCGGCCUAACCCUUCGGGGGCGGAGGCGUCGACGGUAUGAUCCAUGAUUGGGGUG
rnacentral:rRNA from 1 species